rnacentral:rRNA from 1 species
AUUGAACGCUGGCGGCAGGCCUAACACAUGCAAGUCGAACGGUAACAGGAAGAAGCUUGCUUCUUUGCUGACGAGUGGCGGAUGGGUGAGUAAUGUCUGGGAAACUGCCUGAUGGAGGGGGAUAACUACUGGAAACGGUAGCUAAUACCGCAUAACGUCGCAAGACCAAAGAGGGGGACCUUCGGGCCUCUUGCCAUCGGAUGUGCCCAGAUGGGAUUAGCUAGUAGGUGGGGUAACGGCUCACCUAGGCGACGAUCCCUAGCUGGUCUGAGAGGAUGACCAGCCAAACUGGAACUGAGACACGGUCCAGACUCCUACGGGAGGCAGCAGUGGGGAAUAUUGCACAAUGGGCGCAAGCCUGAUGCAGCCAUGCCGCGUGUAUGAAGAAGGCCUUCGGGUUGUAAAGUACUUUCAGCGGGGAGGAAGGGAGUAAAGUUAAUACCUUUGCUCAUUGACGUUACCCGCAGAAGAAGCACCGGCUAACUCCGUG